rnacentral:tRNA from 1 species
GCCGGGGUGGCGGAAUUGGUAGACGCACAGGACUUAAAAUCCUGUGGGAUUUUUAUCCCGUGUCGGUUCGAGCCCGACCCUCGGUA